rnacentral:rRNA from 1 species
AGUGCUAAUUUUAAGGGCAGAUGGUGGAUGCCUUGGGAGAUUAAGGCGAUGAAGGACGUGGCGUGACUGCGAAAAGCUUCGGGGAGGUGUCUAGCAACCUUUGAUCCGGAGAUGUCCCAAUGGGGAAACCCAAUAGACCUUUGAAGUCUAUUACUCUGUAUUUAUAUAGAGAGCGUACCCGCUGAAGUAAAACAUUUCAGUAAGCGGAGGAAAAGAGAACGUAAGUUUAUUCCCUUAGUAGCGGCGAGCGAAGAGGGAAGAGCCCAAACCAAUUUUUAUAAUUGGGGUUGUAAGGAAAUAUUGUCGGGGGCAUUUGUUCUUAAGACAAAUGUACCUGAGGGAGAGAAUAAAGGUAAUAUAUUAGAAGAAGUACCCUGGAAAGGGACACCAUAGAGGGUAAUAGUCCCGUAUUCGAAAAUAUUUUUACGCUCCUUGAUAUUUUUCUUGAGUACCGUCGGGGAAGAUAACCUGGCGGGAAGCAGGCCGGACUACCGGCCAAGGCUAAAUACUUAAUCUCACCGAUAGUGCACCAGUACCGUGAGGGAAAGGUGAAAAGUAGGGAGGUGAUCCCGGUGAAAUAGAACCUGAAACCAUGUUGCCCACAAGGAGUCAGAGCUGUAUUUAUACAGUGAUGGCGUGCCUAUUGAAGAAUGAGCCAACGAGUUUAGGUUUAUCUCAAGUCUAAGUUCUUAUAGAACGAAGGCGUAGCGAAAGCGAGUGUUAAAAGCGCGUCUAGAGGUGAGUCUAAGACCCGAAGCCAAGCGAGCUUACCAUGGCCAGGGUGAAGUUUGUCGAAAGACAAAUGGAGGCCCGAACUAAUGAGUUGUGCAAUGCUCUUGGAUGAGCUGUGGUAAGUAGUGAAAAGCUAAACGAGCUUGGGAAUAGCUGGUUCUCCCCGAAACAUUUUUAGGAAUGGCGUCGAUUUAAAAUAAUUGGAGGUAGAGCACUGAAUGGGACUACUUGGGCGCAAGCUCGGUCUUCCUAAUCAAACUCCGAAUGCCAAUUAUCUCUUUGUCGGCAGUUAGGCUAUGGGGGCUAAGCUCCAUGGCCGAGAGGGAAACAGCCCAGAUCUUAAUCUAAGGUCCCUAAAUUAAACUAAGUGUUUUAAAGGAAGUGAGACGCCACUGAUAGCUAGGAGGUUAGCUUAGGAGCAGCUAUCCUUUAAAAAGUGCGUAACAGCUUACUAGCUAAGGAGUCUCGCGCCGAAAAUUGCCGGGACUAAGUUUAAUACCGAAGAUAAGACUUUAUGAAUUUAUUCAUAAGGGGUAGGGGAGCGUUUCUAUUGCUGUGAAGUUAGGUGGUGACGCCUGAUGGAGCGAUAGGAAGUGAAAAUGUUGGCAUGAGUAACCACAAUGCAGGUUAAAUCCCUGCACACCUAAAGCCCGAGGUUUCCUUGGCAAUGACAAUCAGCCAAGGGUUAGGCGGUCCUUAGGAAAAGCCGAAAGGCGUAUCUGAUGGACAGCUGGUUAAUAUUCCAGCUCAUCUGUUAAAUAAACCCAGGGGGACGAAGAGUAGUACUCUGAUCGGAUUAUUGGAUUUCCGUUGAUUGCGUAAGGAAUUUAUUCCAAGCGUCGUCAAAAUUUUUCUCUUUGAGAAAAAAAUUCAGGAGAGCACUUUUCCCAGAAAAGCCCUGUCUAUACUAUUUAAUAGAUACCGUACCGCAAACCGACACAGGUGGGCGAGUGUGAAAGCACUAAGGUGAACGAGUGAAAUAUCCUGAAGGAACUAGGCAAAUCAGCAGGCGUAAGUUCGCAAUAUGCCUUACCACCUUUUUGGUGGUCGCAGCGAAAGUACCCCUAGCGACUGUUUAUCAAAAACACAAGUCCAUGCUUAACUCGUAAGAGGAUGUAUAUGGACUGAGACCUGACCAGUGCUGGAACGUUAAUCUUGCCGGUCUUAUCCAAUUUAUUGGGUGAGGCUGAGUGGGUGAAGCGCCAGUAAACGUCCGCGAUAACUAUAAUCGUGUUAAAGUAGCGUAAUCCCUUGCCGUGUAAGUUACGGCCCGAAUGAAAGGUUUAACGACUGGG